rnacentral:rRNA from 1 species
AGAGUUUGAUCAUGGCUCAGGAUGAACGCUAGCUACAGGCUUAACACAUGCAAGUCGAGGGGCAGCAUGUUGGUUGCUUGCAACCAAUGAUGGCGACCGGCGCACGGGUGAGUAACGCGUAUCCAACCUACCCUUGUCCAUCGGAUAACCCGUCGAAAGGCGGCCUAACACGAUAUGCGGUUCUCAGCAGGCAUCUAACGAGAACGAAAUGUGAAGGAGAAGGAUGGGGAUGCGUCUGAUUAGCUUGUGGCGGGGUAACGCCACAAGGCGACGAUCAGUAGGGGUCUGAGAGGAAGGUCCCCACAUUGGAACUGAGACACGGUCCAAACUCCUAGGGAGCA